GAAAUGCGAUAAGUAAUGUGAAUUGCAGAAUUCCGUGAAUCAUCGAAUCUUUGAACGCACAUUGCGCCCUCUGGUAUUCCGGGGGGCAUGCCUGUCCGAGCGUCAUUGCGAACCCCUCAAGCACGGCUUGUGUGAUGGGCCCUCCCGCGUCUUGGUCGUCAAGACGGGCCCGAAAUGCAGUGGCGGCUUCGCGGUUAUCCGAUCAGCCAGAGCGUAUGGGGACUUUCUCUCUGUCACACGCCCGCGGCGCGGACCGACGCCUGUCGACCUUCAUUCAUCGUUUUCUCGGUUGAUCUCGGAUCAGGUAGGGAUACCCGCUGAACUUAAGC
rnacentral:misc_RNA from 1 species